UCCCGGCACCCUGCCAGCAGGAGGCCUCCACAGCAGCCCGGGAGCAGUGCCCAGCAGGCUUCUGUAUCUCUCACUGGAGGAGCAGCUUUACCUCCGCGACAGCAGACAGCCACCCAGCGCAGCACUGCCCACUCGCCACAGCAACCAAAACAUCUAUGGUCAUCGCUCUCGAGCAACAGACAGAGCAGAAGGACCUUGACUAGACGAUUCCGAGGGAUUUUCUGUAAGUUAACUGUGCCAUUCUGCUGCAGGUGCUUUCAGCAUAAGUAUUCACCAGAUGUCCUAAUAUUUUUACUUUCUCCUCAUGUGGAAGUCCUGAAGUCUUUCUAUGCCUCCAAUUCUUGCCUUUGUCUGGAUCCUUUCAGUUUCUGUGUGAUUUUUGAGUUGGAGAAUGAGGACCGCACUCAAGGACAGGAGCAUAACUGGAUCACAGGAACACUCGAACUCAGGAACCCUCAGGAAUGAUGCAGGACCCAGGAGCAAUAACACUAAGGAUCAGGAA